GACAGAGGGUGCAAACGUUGUUCGGAAUUACUGGGCGUAAAGCGCGUGUAGGCUGCUCAGAAAGUCGGAUGUGAAAGCCCUGGGCUUAACCUAGGAAGUGCAUUCGAAACUUCUGAGCUUGAGUUCUGGAGAGGAAGGCGGAAUUCUCGGUGUAGAGGUGAAAUUCGUAGAUAUCGAGAGGAACACCGGUGGCGAAGGCGGCGACCUGGGUAGAUACUGACGCUGAGGUGCGAAAGCGUGGGGAGCAAACAGG
rnacentral:rRNA from 1 species